rnacentral:rRNA from 1 species
AGAGUUUGAUCCUGGCUCAGAACGAACGCUGGCGGAAGGCUUAACACAUGCAAGUCGAGCGCACCCUUCGGGGUGAGCGGCAGACGGGUGAGUAACGCGUGGGAACGUGCCCUUUGGUUCGGAAUAGCCCUUGGAAACGAGGAGUAAUGCCGGAUAAGCCCUACGGGGGAAAGAUUUAUCGCCGAAGGAUCGGCCCGCGUUAGAUUAGGUAGUUGGUGAGGUAACGGCUCACCAAGCCGACGAUCUAUAGCUGGUUUGAGAGGAUGAUCAGCCACACUGGGACUGAGACACGGCCCAGACUCCUACGGGAGGCAGCAGUGGGGAAUCUUGGACAAUGGGCGAAAGCCUGAUCCAGCCAUUCCGCGUGGAUGACGAAGGCCUUAGGGUUGUAAAAUCCUUUCAGCAGGGAAGAUAAUGACGGUACCUGCAGAAGAAGCCCCGGCUAACUCCGUGCCAACAGCCGCGGUAAUACGGGAGGGGGCUAGCGUUGUUCGGAACUACUGGGCGUA